UACUGGACAUCACAAAAGUUCCCGUAAAAUUUUGACGUCAUAAUAGAAAAUAUCUGACGCCACAAUGGAAAAGUGAUUGUUGUAUGACGUCAAAAGUUCAAUCGGGACAGAUUCUCGGGUCAAGCGGGAAUAGCGAUAAGGUGUAUAAGCUCAAAUGGUUAUCUGUUGAUUGUUUACAACAGUAUGAAAUUUGCUAAAAUGCUAUACUGUGCUACUGUUUUGAUAUUCGGAUGUAUUAUGUUGUCGUCUGCUUGCAAACUUUCCCAAACUAUCCUGAAAAUCGAGAAAGAGAUAAAAGAAGAAAUUAACAGUCGAGAAAUGAUGCUACAAAAAAAUAUAGGAAACAUACUUAAAAAAAAUAUAGGAUGGAAAGUUCCAACUAAAACGUGUAUUAAAGAAGUGUCAUACAACAGAAAGACAGGUCAAAGUUCAACCCCAACAUGGCUCUACUCUUCACGUAAUGGUGUUGACCAUAAUCUGUUAACAAUGUUUCGUACGAGGUAUGAACAGAAUCCAUAUUGGUGGGUAUUCCUCGGAAAAGACUAUCCAGUUCGUCAUGUCGAAAUAUGGAAUAGAAAACACUUCGGUACAAGACUCCGUGAAAUGGAAAUUACGGUUGGUCGAAAUUUAGGAGCCAUGGAGCUAUGCCAGAGAUACAGAGGCCCGGCUAGGGAUGGACAAAAGUUAAUUCUGAAAUGCAAACACGCUGUAUCAGGCCAUUUUGUCAAGAUUGCCAUAAAAGGCAAGGGAUGCUUAAAUCUAAAUGAAGUUAAAGUGUAUGCGAAUUUCAAGAAAUGUUGAAUUAAUUUAAUAAAGAUGAAAUCUG